rnacentral:misc_RNA from 1 species
GCACCAAAAUGCAUCUGCUUCAUCAUCAAGUAGAAUAAUCAUGGGAGAACAAAGAUCACUCAUUCCUUGACAAUAACUAACUUCUUUGUCAAACCAAGCAUAAACAGCCAAAAUAUCCCAAAGCUUUGAUAGAUUCUCUUGUUUCUCAUAAAAGACAAGUGUCCGGUCAGUACGAAUCACAUCCAAUCCUAUCUGGUGUAAUGAGAGUUUCCACUGGAUUACUUUUUUGUCAUGCUCCUUCACCAAUUCAAAACCAUCAGAUGGACCAACUUGACCAGCUGAAGUUGGUUCUUUUGCCGCAUUCAACUCUUGAAGAACUAUAGGAUCUAGAAUAGGGUCACCAUCUUCAGUGAUUACAGGUGCAGAAAUAAACCGACCACUUCCAAUUAAGGGAAACAUCCCACGACAUUCUUCUUUCAAUGCUGCAUACUGUACCCUCCGACGUUGUCGUAAUUGCUCUCGUUCCUCAAAUGUGCUCUUUGAAUCAUAACAGCCCAGUAAGAACUCCCAAACUUCACCUCUAAUUGAUGGAUGGAUUCCCCCACGACAAACUCGACCAAGUAUUUUGCCUAUAUCAAGAUAACCUUCGGGGGUAAAUGCAGCAUGCCAUCUUCUUGAACUUAAAGUUUUCCCAACCUUGAUUCUAAACUUGGUUUCAGGAACAUCAUCAGCACAUUCAGGACGGACCUGAUAAAAUGAAUCAGCAGAAGCUCCAUAGUUCCUCCACAUGCUUCAAACUUUGUUACUUUGGAAACUCCUCAAAAAUCUAAAAUUCAAUACCAACAACUUUGAUCAAGAAUUUCAACAACAAGAACACAACAG